UUGUAUAUAUGUAUAUUUAUGUAAUCUGAGUUAAAUGGUACUUGGAGGAAUUUGUACUCUCAUAGUCUUGGCCUUCAUGAAUCACAAAUUUGUUUGAGAAUAAACCUUGCAAUAGUGAGUGAAAAGAAAAUAGACAAGCAGGGAAAUCACAGACUAAAUGAAACUGGCAUUACAAGUCAUAAACUAGUUCAUCUCCAUGAUAGAAAAUAGAAGUAAUCUCACAUCAGGUUCAUAUGAAUAAUUAAUUCACCUUUCAUUCAAGAACACACUCUGAACUAAAAAUAUAUGUGAAGUGGUAUGCUACCUCUACUUAAAACCACUUUUUGGUUGGCAUGAUUUAACUACUGAACUGAAGCCUAAAAAGAGAGAAUGCCUUUACUAUUAAUCUUUAAUAAGCUAUGCCAAAUAGGAGAGCUGUAAUUCAACAGGCUACAGCAAAUAAUUCCACAUAAUUUUGGAUGUUAUAUAACUUUAAUUUAUUGAGAAAACACUGUCAAUAAAAAAGAUAGACUGUUAGUACUCUAUUCAAGGAUGCUAGUUUAGACAAGUUGCAAACAAAAUUUGAUUAAUGCCGGCAAAGAACUUCACUUUCCGUUGCCAAAAGUAUUUUUUUCCUGUGUUGCAGUACCUUAAUGCAAUGAAACAAACCAGUUACAUUUAACUUAGUUUCAUGAUCCCUUUAUGACACUAUGUAUUGCCAUGACCUCAAUAUAAUCAGAUCUGACUUUAUAAACAUUGUACAAAACCACUAAUCAUAGAUACAAGUAAUAAUUAGUGUUAAUUUUCAACUUGCCUCAAAGAAACUGUGACCUAAAGUAAUCAAAUUCAAAAAAGAUCCACCGAAAUGCAAGAAAUAUUAAUUUUUAUAGACAUAUUAAUAAAAUAAAAUAAAUAGAGAACCAUGCUUUUUGUAUUGAAAACAUUCAUAUAGUUUUACUUAUUUGCACUUAAUUAGUAGACGCCAGAAAUGUAUGGGUAGAAAAAUAAUAGAGCAUGGUCUAUUCAAUUAUGAUCAGAUACAUUUUUGCCUAUAUUAUAUUUAUAUAUUUGCCCAUAUAUAUUUCUAUUUUUUUUUUAUAUAUUACAACAAAAAGGAAUUAUUCAUGACAGCAAAUGCAUGAAGACAGGAAGAACAGUACUAAAGUGAAGAUACUAGGCACAACUGUCAUCUUAGUUAAUAUAUUCAAGUAAGGCAUUGCACUGGGCAGAAGGUUUGGAUUCAGGAUCCCUAUCACUGCUUUCCUUUGUAAUUUGGGCAUAUCACUUAUUUUCUAUGCCUGAUUGAUUUUUCAGGUCUUUUAGCACAAGUCAGUUGUUGUUUGACAGUUACAUAGCUCAUUAAUACAGAAGAAAAACAUAUCUCUUCAUCUAGAUAGAUUCCAAAUGUUAUCACAGCAGAUUUUAAUCUUAUUUUGCCGAUUUUUAAACUCUAGCUCAUUUCUCUGAAGCCUCCAAAGAUGAAAACAGGUUUGGUCUAACAAUUUCUUUCCCUUCAAACUGAUUAUUCAAUUUGUUCCAGUAAAGUUACUGGCAGGGAUAAGCUGGUCUUCUGUAGGCAGCAAUAAUUGAAAGUAAACAUUGAACACGAACUAAAAUAAGAAAAAAAAAAACAACAAAAGGCACAAAACCAAUAUACUUACUGCAAACAAAUAACUACAGCCUUGAAUUUAUCUUUGUACACCCUUCACUGUUAUUGUAUGGUAAGUUUUUUUCAUUUCUUCUUCAUAUCUUCAAGUAAUACAGCUAUUUUUAUGCAAAACGGAACUGAAAUGUAUCCUCCUUGAAUAAAGAAACAUCAUUUUGAGAGCACAUUCUAUAGGCAGAUUUGAAUCCCCAAAAUUUUUAUGAUUUAUGUCAUAGUGAUCCUUUUAUGUGAAAUUACCAAAAAUGGAGAAUAAGAAAAAAAAUUGCCUAUCAGAAUCUGAAAUCUCUACAGAAAAAACUAAACUUCAGAGCUUUCAAAUGUUUUGCUGAGUUCACUGCCUUUGUCUUCUCAUUAUUUAUAUGGAAUAUUUUGAAGUAUAUUUCAUGCCAGAACAUUGAGCUGUAAUGCAGCCAUUCAAUGUGAGAUAUUGUAUGAUUGUAGUGAAAAAUAUAUUGAAUAACAAAAUAAGUGUGAUGAUAUUAAUAUGAGCAAUAACUUUAAAAACUGCAGUCCUGUGUGUGUAAUAAACCCAGGUUUCCAUGACAAAAGGCUGAAGAUAAGCUCUAGUAGAAUAUGUUCUUACAUUUAGGAAUUCAUUGCAUGUUCUUGUGAAAAGUCCUUUUCCAGCUCUCUCUUGUAGCCAUCAUUAGGUGCUGGAAGGUUGCUCUAUCUCCCCAGACACUCCUCUACUUCAGUCUGAGUAACCCAAUUUUCUUAGUCUGUCUUCACAGGACAGGAGCUCCAGCCCUGGGAACAUCUUGGUGGUUCUCCUCUUGGCUUGUUUCAAAAGGUCCAAAUCCUUCCAUUCAAAGCCCCAGAUUUGGACAUAGGACUCAGGGUGGGGUUUCAUCAGAGCAGAGUUGAGGGAGAGAAUUGCCCUGGGAACUGAUGAAUAGAGAAAGAACCAAAGACACCCUAAGUGAACCCAAAACCCUGUUCCUGGACUGAGCACCACAAGGCUAGAAAGGACUGUGCUGACCUGUCAGACUUUUCUUCUGGAAUGCUGAGCUGUGCCCUGUGAGACAGGGAAGCUGUUCAAGGAACCACUAUGGUAACCUGGUAAACUUCUUUUUAGGGAGAAUGAAUGAAAAUAAAAAAAUUUCACUAAAUCAAGGAAACUGCCAUCUAUUUGUCUUGAAGAUUUUUGCUACUUCUGAUCAGAUUUUUAGUGGGAAAACAAAUCCUUGUACAUCAUCUAAGCUUUACAGACAAUGUAGAAAACUCAAAUAAAUGUUUGUAAAACAUUACACUCAUGCAUGAGUACAUAAGUACUGAUAUAUUGAUAUUCUGUUACAGUAUUUCAAUGUCUUAUGGUUGUAGCAAAAGGUGAAAACUGUACCACAAGUGAAAUUGAUGUACUUUUAGAGCAAAGAUAUAAAGGAAGAAAUUAGCCUAUUUUGAAUUUUCCAUAAAAUCACUGGGCAGUAACUGUAAGAAUGUUCUUUAAUGACUUUACCACAGACUAUAAGAAACAUUUUUAUUAUCUCAAAUAUAUUUGAAAUAAAUGUAACACUUUUUAUUUAAACUAAUAUAAACAUAGAGCUUUAAAUUCAAAUUAAUUUAAUUUCAAAUAGAUAUAUUGAUUCUGUGACAGAGUUAUGCCCCCUGUCAUUGGCAAAUGUAUUAGUCACAAUAUAUUAGCAUAAUGAAAAGGUGAACUCCACCUCAUGAAACAGACAACCCAUACCCUUUUCUUUACAUUCGGUACUCCCAUAUGACUACUCCGUAGCCUUUGGGGUCCUUACAUUGUUUUGAUUAGAAAACAUGAUACUGUUCUUUCCUCAGUUUAAGCCAAAUGUGGUAAAAUCUGAGUUUGUUUUUUCUUGCAAGAUUUCCAUUCCUUCUGUUUAGAUAUUAAUCUGUAGUGGUGAUAUAAACAUGGACUCAGACCUACAAACCAGGCUCACCUAGCUUUUCUAUUCCUCUCCUGUGCAUGUCCACUCCCAUAUCCUGCUCUACCUUCAGCUUCUUCCUGGCAGGUUCUUUUUCAUUAAAAAGAGGUUCAAAUCUUCUCUUGUCUCUAGGAUCCAUUGUAGCCCUACCCUUUGCUCUUCAGUCUCAUUGCCACAUUUACCAAAUUUUUAUUCAUCUUUCUUCUUCCAAUACUCUAUGCUGGUUAUAAAUACCUUUCCUAUUACCUAAAGUUUGCUAUAUAGUAUAAUUAGCUAUGAGUUUUAUCCCCAUAUUCUUCAAACUUUUAGUUUUAAGAACAACCUUAUUGAACUUAUAGGGAUCACUUUGAUUUUAAAAAAAUUUGUAAUGAUUUUUGAGAGUCACCAGUUUCUUAGUUUCCUUUUCACUGUAAAAAUAUACAAUGGAUGAUAUUCCAAAUAUAUCAUGCUUUUUAAAUCUUAAAGAGGUCAUCCUACUUCUGAAGAAAAAAAAUUCAAGAACAAUCUUCUGAAUUUUGGUUGCUUCUAUUUAAAAGACAAUAAAAAUUAUCCUAAGCUUGAAGUAAUCAUUUAUUUCUUUUGUUUUCCCCAUUUUACAUUAUUUUUCUUCAUUUUUGUUCAAAUGUUUGGUGUUUUUUUCCUUUUCUUUGGUUUUUAUCUUUUCAGGUAUCAUCUUAUGAUGCAUAAUAGACACCCUACAGAGAUCACUUAGAAACACAACACAAUCAUUAAUACAGUUAGUGAGAUGGAUUGAAAGGUAGAAUGUCUUUUCAUUUAUGCUCUGUAUUCAAACAGAUAGCAAGCAUCAUCAUGAUCAUCUUGAUGGUGAUAAAUGAAAACUAAGGUUUUUUUUCUAGCUAUCUUAUUUUGAUUGAAAUAUAACAAACCAAUUCCCACACUUAAUAGAUGGAUUCAUGCAAACAUAGGAAUACCAAUACAGGCAAAAAGAAAAAAACAGAAAUAUGGUAAUAUACUUAGGAAAAGGAAAAGCAAGAAAAUUAAAACUCAAGCAAUCAAUCUACUCUGAAAAUUCUGCCCCAGGCAAUGACUGUGUUCACAGACUGUGAACUUCCAGUUUUCUCUCAAAACAACCCCAUAUAGUGUAUGGAUAAGUACUUUGAAAUUAAAAAGCAGUGUUUUUCCCAGAAUCUUUGAAGAGAUGACAGUGAUUCUAGAACAAUUCAGAGAGAAAAUAAGAAAUAUUGAGACAGAAAUAACUAGUCAGGAAUUAUUGACUACUAAAUCUAUGUGGUAUAACUUUAUAGUGAGUACAACCCCUUGGAUAGUUACUAGAUCUGAUACAAAUCAUGAUGCCGUAUCAUCUAUCAAAUUUCAAGGGAAAAAAACCCAAUGUAUAACAUAGCAUAACAAAAUACAAAAAAUAAAUUACAUUGAUAUAAAACAGGUUUCAGAGAAGAAAUUAUAAGAAAAAGUAUAAAAGAAUAAUUAUAAAAGAGAAGCAAAAACUUGAAAGAAAUGCACUGAAUGUAUCAGAGUUAAUCACUGCUUGUGGGUUAACAGCUGGCAGCCAUGCACCAUGCAGUUGUCUGCUUACCACUGCCUCACCCCAUGGAGAUCAAGAGGAGAACCAGAAGGGCAAAAAUAAGAAAACUGAUGGGCUGAGAUAAAGACAAAGUAGUAUGUAAUGCAAAAGGUCUCACAGAGAAGCAAAGCAAAACAAGGAAUUCAUUCACCGCUUCCCAAGGGCAGGCAGGAGUUCAGGCAUCUGCAGGAAGGCAGGGCACCCUCAUGGUGACUUAAGAAGGCAGGCACUGUAACUGCCAACAUCCCUCAUUUUCCCCCAGCUUUUAUUGCUGAGCAUGAAGCCAUAUGGUAGAGAAUAUCCCUUGGGUCACUUGGGGACUGCUGUCCCAGCUGUGCCCCCACCCAAAUUCUUGUGCACCCUCAGCCUUCUCACUGGUGGAGUGGUGUGUGGGGCAGAAAAGGCCUUGGUGAUCUGUAUGCACUGCUCAGCAGCAAUCAAACACUGUUAUCAACACAGUUCUCAGCACAAAUACAAACCAGAGUCCCAUAGCUACUCUGAAGAAAAUGAACUCUGUCCCAGCCCAAACCAGUCUGUCAUCUUAUAACAGUCACAUAAAAAUAAUAAGGAAUAUUUAUUGCCUUUGGAAAAAAUAAAAGAGCAUGCUAUAUUAAAAGAGAGGGAAAAAGUAAUACUUAUCAAGGCUGUUAUUGGCAGAGAGGUAAAAGUAGAGUCACUCUCAGUAAAGAAGAUCAAACUCCAUGAAAAAAAAGAGAACACAGAAAGGUUAGGACACUUCAUUAUGACACUUCAUUAUGUUUUCAACAUCAAUGUUUAAGCAGGAACACAAAGUACCAAAUGCUGGGACCAGAUGGUAUCCUUACCCAGUCCAGCACAGAUCCUGGUGGAUUUAUCAGAGCUCAAUCAAUGAAUGCUCCAUUCCAGGGCAGUGCUAUAUAUCACAUUUUGAACUACUAACUUGUCUCAUGUUUAAGCAAGAUGAGGGCAUAGACUAUUCAUUUCAGAGUAUUACUACAGCAACCAUUUAGGUAAAGGUACUUCUUGGGAGAGGCAAACAUAAAACAAGAGAUAACAAAAUUCAAAUUCUAAUUGAAAAUUAGUUAUAAAAACUGUAAAAUCCAUAAAGACGAACCUCUGGGGUAGGAUGGAUUACCAUAAUAUUUUUCACUCCAGCAUCUGUUUGGUAAUCUUGAAUUUCCUGAGACUGUAAACUGUUGUGAAUAAAACAGCAAUUUUUAGACUUUUAUUAAUCAUCACCAAAGACUGAUAUUUAGCUAUUCUUAAUAGCUAAAUAUUAAAUAUUAAAUAGCUAAAUAGCUGCUUAAUAGCAGCUGGAGAUCUUUUAUUAAACUCUUUCCCAUUUAUUCUUAAGCAUUUGCAUUUUGACUACAUGGGCAAGACCUGAAAUACUUGCAAAGUGAGAUUAGGAGGACAUGACCAAGGCACAAGAAGCAAUGACUUGAGGAAAUAACAAAUCAUUAUUUAGAAACAUAUAAUUAGUGUAUUUUCGAUAAGACAAAGAAAAAUGGAUUUUAAUCUGUGAGCCAAAACGUCUCAACUACAUAAAACUAAACCUAUCACAGAAAUUUUGAUUAGCUGUGAAAAAGACAUGAAGCAACAUAUAAAUAAAAUAGGAUGCUAAGCAGAAUGUGAUGAGGUAUAUCAUUAGUAUCUGUUCAGUGUUGAUGAAGAACAGACCAAAAUAAACACUGAACCAUGGAAUAUCUUGGGUUGGAAGUUAAAAUGUAAUCUACUCCAACCCCUACCCCCACAAUGAAAAGCAAUGUCUUCAACCAGGUUAAUUUUCUGAGGCCUGAUGCAACCUGACCUUCAAUGCUUCCAGCAAUGGGGCAUCUACCACUGCUCUUGACAACUUGGACAGCUGCAUAAAUUGGGUCCUUUGUGAUGAGCGCCACUUAUACAGGAGUUGAAAAAGGAAACACAGAGCGUGUUUCAAAGCACAGAGGGAGAACAGUGCACGUGAGUUACACGCUUUGGGUGGCAGAUGAUUUAUGAGUCUUGACAAGGCAAUUUCCAGAUUUUCUAUUUCUGCAUUCAAAAUAUAGUUUGUGUCUAACAGGAACUCCUAUUGCAAUGAAUUACCACGUGCAAAAAAGUCAUAGUUGCUGUGACAUAAAAAAUGGAGGAUUAUUUUGAAAAGUACACACUUAAUCAUGUAUCAUAGUAGAAUGAAUUCCAAAUCAGUGCAAAGGAAAUUUGAUAAUGAGUUGCCCCAGCUUUUGGUAUAUAAACCAAAACAAAAUCCUGUUUCUCAGAUAAGUAAAAAUAAAGGGGAUGAUAAAGUGGAAAAAAUAAAACAUCCACAUCAAGUUAGUUAAUUAAAUAUAUCUUGGCAGUUUCAUUCAUAUUUAAAGCCAACUUUGGCAGAUUACAGGCCUGGAUUUGCUGCAUUUCUAUUCUAAUAAUAGUGCAACAUAAUGUAAGAGUAUUGCUUCACUGAAGUAUUUACUAUUGAAGAGAAAAUUGCUUUUAUAACUAUACCUCCCAAAUAAAAUUUACAGAAAUGCUGAAGAUCAUAAAAAAAGUAAUCAACACUUUGAUUUGAAUUCUCCCACUUAUGUGUGUACAACACUUUCACUACUGUUGAAAGGAUUUAGGAACCUACUCUGAAGGAUAAGCGUAGCUAAUUGGAUUUUUCACUGUAAUUUGCAUUGUAGUUUUUCCUGCUAAGGAUUUUCUACUGUAAAAUUGGGUUCAUUAUAAUUUGUAAUAUUUCAUGGUUAUAAAAAGAAAAUAGAUAUCAAGUUUCUGUGAUAGAAAAUAUGUGAAGGUCUCCCAAAGCCUUUAUUUCUCUCCUCUUUUAUUCAAUCCAUAUGUAAAAAACAGUAUUCCAGCCAUGUGAUAUAUUGUCUAACUCAAAGAAGCUGUUUCUGCUAUGCAUAUAGCCUUAAACUUUCAUGAUGCUUACACUGUGUCUCCUUCUGGAAUUCAUCUGGUCAUUAGAAACCACACUAUCUUCUCAGCCAAGUAAUCUAUUCUAUUACAACAAAAAAUUAUUAACCUAACUGUUAUAAAGAUCUCUAAGAAUGACUUUUCAUAAACACUUAAAUGUACAUCUGUUAUCUAACCCAUGUUGUCCAUAUGACUUAAUAACUUCUUAAAUUAUUUACUUUUAUUUUGCUUUUUAAUAAUUUUGAAAAUGGGAAUUUUUUUUUCAGAAGCCUAAGUAUCAAUUUAGAAAGCUCUGCUGGCGUAAAAAUAUAAAACUUGGUCUUGAUAUCAUUUGCAUCAGCGAGACCUAUUUUAUGGCAGCAAUGGCUAAGUUAUGUCUUCUGCUAGGAAGGGAAAAUGUAAGCAAAGAACUGUUUUAAACAGAUAUUUGCAGGCUAGGAAAUGCUAAAUCUUCCUCUCAUUCUGAAGCUGGAAUAGUAAUGAUAUGUAAUUUUGAAGAAGAUUAUUUAUUAGUGACAAGAGAAUAUUUCCUGGUUGUGCCGGUUGUUACGUCCAUGCUAAGAAAUGGGAUUAGGUGCCACAUUUGUCUGUGACACAGAAGGAUUACUGUGCUUGAACUGUAGAUCUGCUAUGUAUAGAAAAGGCCACUUCUUGAGAGACAUCUGUUCGUUUGGAUGUUACUCAGCUUCUGUUUCCCACCAAGAUCAUUGCAAAGGAGAGAAUGGGUAAGUCAUUGGCAGGAAAUACUCUGCCUGAGUUAUUCUUGCUCUGUUGAGCAUAUGGCUCCAUUGUCUGUCACCACUUAGACCCAUAUCACUUUAUUUUGUUGAAAUAAAUGAAACACUUCUUGAUUUCUAAAUGUUCAUGGGAUACAAAUAAUUCUUAUGGAUAAAUUUGAUCAUGAGAGUUUUGAUUUGUGGGCUUCAUAAGAAUACUUUUUUUCUCUAAGGGCCAUGAAUACAAAUUAAAACAAGUAUAAGAGAUUUUUAAAGAAUGUGCUAUGCUUAAUGCCAUUAUUUCUAUUUUUUUUUCUAACUAAUGUCUCUAAUUAACCUAGACCUACCUCUUAUGAUUAAAAAAAAAAAAAAAAAACUCUCUUUAAGUACUUUUUUCCUGCUCUGCCAAUUCUUGCCCAAUUUUUCAUGUGUUCAUGGCUUUAUAAAAUAAGAAAUGAACUGCAUUUUUUUUCCAGGCAUCAAGGCAAUUCCUUCCAGAACCAGUCAUGUAAAGAGUGAUCUGAAAAAUAAUUGAGCACACAGAGUGUGAAAUUUUAAAGGAUAUUAGAAGACAUUCAUUGCUUUGAAUACCUUAUUGAGUGGUAUAUAACAGUGAAGUGCUGAUGAGAUGAUUAAGUCAAUUAACAGUCGCAGAGAAUUACAGCAUAUUUGCAAUAUGUCAUCCCAACAUGACCUUAUGUACUCUUGUAUUGAUACAACAUCACAGUGAAAAAAUUGAAAGGCAUUAUCAAGGCACCCUGUUGUGGUUACUUUGUUUAUUUCCAUAACUAUUUUACAUUAUUUUUCUUAUCUUCCUUCUUUUUCCUUUUACACAUGACUUCUUAGAGGAGCCAAAGUAAUUCACAUUGUAUAUAAUCUCUUUCCCUCUUUUCAUAACUCCUUUUUUACUAUGUUUUGGUUUUGUUGUUUGUUUUGUUUUCUUUUUGGGUUGAUUUUCCUUUUAUGCAUGAUUAUCACUGACAUGGUAUUGUUUGUUUAUCAUUUUAUGACUUUAUUAAGGCAAUGGCAGAGAUCUUACUCUCUGGGUAUUUUCUGGUCAUAAAAGAAGAGCUUUAUAAACUCUUACUGACUAUUUAGUAAUUAUAGUCAGGGAUCAAAAAAUAUACAAGUCCCUGUAUUCCAGAAGGAUUCAGCUAACUCAGCCUUUUGUGAACCUUGAUAAUAUAAUUUAAGGAAGUAUGUUGACUUUUUAAAAAGGCAAAUUUCAAGCCUUCAGCAUCUCACAUUUCAGCCCUAAUGCAAGAUGUGAGAGGUACAGAUUCAACACAGCAUAUGGCUUUAAAGUUGUUAUUACAGAUUUAGAGCAUAGAGCCAUUUCCAGUGCUGUGAAAUUCCUUCCCAUGAAAUAUAAUUUUCAAUUUGCAUUUUUUUUGUUUCCUCCAUUAUUUUAUCCUCCAUUUAUAUUUUAACUCCCACAGCACUCUACUAGAUAAUGCCAGCUGAUGAGUCAGCAUCAUAAAGGCAGCACAGACAUUAUGAUAACUAAGUUUCAUUUUCUAGUCUCUGAAGAGGCAGCCACCAGCUUUGUUGCAAAGAAAAAUUAUUUGUAUUGCACACAAAAUACGUGGGUAUUCAGAGUGAGUUUUAUAUCAUGUUCAGUAUGAAAUUAAUAGGGAAAUAUUAUGAUUUUAUCCCACAGAAGGUGUAACAGUAGCCAAAGGUAGGUUUGGGAGAUAUAUGGUUGAUAAAUAUGCAAAUAAACGUAUGGAAAAACUUUACUCUCUGUCUACCUCUCUGUCUUUUCACAUAGUAGCCUGAAACAGUCUAAACACAAAAACAGGAGAAAAUUUAUGGAAUAUGUGGACUAUAAGUACCCUGUAUGUGUUUUUUUCACAUAAAUAUGAGUGCUGUUAAAAGGUCAAGACGAAACCAAGAUAAUUUGGAGCUAGGAAGACUGUGGUUUGCAUUCUAGGAGAUUAGAUGCUGCAAAUGAAACCUGAGCCGUAGUAAAACAGGUUACAUAUCUGAUCAAAAAUGGUGAGUAUAGGAGGAUUGUAGAGAAGCAGUGGAAUUAUAUUUUCCAAAGCCAUUCACAUCAAAAAAUGAUGCAUUCCUGUCAGAAACUAAAGAAACUAGAGUUUGAGGCUGAAAUUUAUCUGACAUAAAACAGCUGACUUCUGGAGCUUAUCUGGUCAUCUACAGUUCCCUUUAUUGUAAAUGGAGAUGAAUAACAAAUUCAUCUCAUUAUAAAGUAAAUAGCUAAAAUAGAUUAGAUUAAUCACACAAUAAAAGCAUUAAUUUAUCUUUUUCAACUAAAACAGUCUCUCUAAUUAGCUAUUCUCUCAAUGUAUACAUCACAGAUGUUUAAAGUUAAGCUAGAUACAUCCCUUCAGUACACAAUCCUUCCAUGAAUUUUUGAAAAAAUUCAGAUUUUUUUCAUAUUUUUUUUAUACCUAUAGCAACUUAUAAAUUGAAACUUGGACAAUUGCAACUUUUAUAUGCAUACAAUAUUUUUUAUACAAUGCAAGAAAUAAUCAGAGAUGUAAAUAACAAGUGGAACAAAUAUUAUACAGAUAUAUUGUACCAACAAUGAAUCCACAAUACACUUCUGAAUGUUACCAACAAGCAAAUUAAUAAAGUAUUAUUAAGAAUUGUAAUGGUAAUAUCUCAAAAGCUGCUUUCAGUUAAAGAAAAUCCGAUUAAAAUUUGCCUUUUUUUAAUCAUUUACUGUGAAGCAGAAAGUGAUAAAAUCUAUCGCCUGCAUUCUUCUCCUCUGUUCUUCUAUGACGUGCUGUCAUUCCUUUGUUUGCUUAGUAUUUCUGUAACAACAGAAUAAGGGAAGCAGCAGUCCACAGGAAACCUACAGAGAGGUAGUUAAAAUGAUAAAGAGCUGGGGAUUUUUUUGACUAGGUGGGAGAAUAUAUCAUAGCUUUAUCUUCUUGUAACAUAUUGAGACAAUCUAUUACCGUACAAUGCUAGGCACAAAACAUGGCCACUAAUGAAUUCUACUGAUAUCAGUCAACUGAUCUGAACAACAUUGUCUUCAAGGGUUAAUGCUUUUAAAUCUGAAUAUUCUCACAAGGGUUACUUGUUCACAUGGUUUCUGAAAGCUAAGGUAGCAUAUUUUAAUUUAAGUUAGUUUAACAUAGUUUAAUUAGUUAGUUAGUUUAAUUAAUUUAGUUAGCAUAGUUUAAGUUCUGAAAAGUCCAGUUGACAAAUGUUACACAUUUUAGCCAGAGUAUGAAGACUCAGAAGCCAUCUUAAGCCGAAGACAACAGAGAGAAAGACCUAAGCUAUUGCAUGUGUAUAUUGAAGUGAGCGACUAAAAAUAUUUUAGCCUUCUGUUUUGAAGAAGCCGGGCAGCAAAGAAUGCUCAUAAAUUAGCUUCCUAACACUUUUGAAUUUAGAAGUGAUUGUGAUUCAAAUCAUACUUAUGAAGUUUUCUUUCUUACUCUCUUAUUACUCUCUUUCUUUCUUAUUACAUCUUUGCUUACUCAGAAAAAUAAUAAUAUUAAGGUGUUUUGAAAAGUCUUGAUACUCAAAAUUGUCCAGAUGUUUGAUUGUAUAAUCAUGAAGAUUGAAUUUUUUUUUAAAGAAAUCUGGCUCUUAAUUUAGCAAAGAUUUAAAUUAAGAAACAUAAUUAGAGAUGCUAAAUAAUUGUUCUUGAUGCAGGAGAAUAGACUAUUAAUGAAUGUUGAAUAAAAUUUUUCUAUUACCUAUUAGAAGUUAGUAUAGUAGAAGUUCUGCCUUGUGAUUAAUUGAGUUUACUCUCUUUGCCCCGAAAGGCAGCAACCUUUGAAAAGUGUCUUGAAGUCCCUAUUUCCCUUAGCUGUUGAUAACUGACAUCAGUUGAAAUCUCCCCAUAUGCGAGACUGAGCAAGAGAGCUCUCUGGCCUGGCAGGAGUUUAUGGUCUUUCCUAUUUUCCAUGGCUUAGCUGAGUCUACCUCUUCUUUCAAGCAGGAUGUGUCUGUUUUGCUUUUUGCUACAGAGAAUCAUCUGGAAUGAAUUUUACGUAUCUUUUAGUUUGUUUUGUCUUCCAAAUCCUUGCCUUUCUCCAGCAUGCUUCUUUCGUAGCUGAAGACAAAAAGAAGCUAGCAACUAUAGUACCCAUAGUUUUGCAAUAGUUUUGUAGACUUCAGUUCACCUCUCAUUAUAUUGAGAUUAGAAAUGAAAGAACACAGAGUACCAAUGCUGUUACUUUUUUCAGAGUCAAUACGAGGGGGGCAGAAGUAAAAGAAUUCUGUAUUUUACAUGAGAAAAAUGUAAAAAGGUUUGCUUUUCCUAAUAAGCUAUUUAAUUCUUUCAUUGUCAUGGGAUAGUUUGCUCAACAGAAAGAGCAAGAAAAGACAAUGAAAGACCCAGAGAUUAGUUCAAAAAGUCAGAUAAUACAGUGAAUUAAUUAACUCUGUAAUAUUAACCAUUAAUAUUUUCUAAAGGUAACUGGCUCCUUAAGAUUUGAUAAUGUUCUGGCUCAAACAACUAGAGGUUUUAAGCUGACCCCAGUUUUGGCAUCCUUUGGUUUUAAGUGUUUGACAAAGCAGCCAAAUAUCUCUCUUCCUCACAAUGUCCCUUCCUACUGUACAGAAAAUAAAGCUUUGCUGAAAAUUCCUCAGAUCAAAGCAUUUUUUUAACCAUAGCCUACUGAUAGAAGUGAGAGGCGGAAACAGAUGAAGUGGAAAAAAAAUGAAUGAGAACAUGAGCAUUGCUCUAAUUCUCAGGGAAGGCAGCAGCAUUAGAGGUAGUCCAGGCAAGAGGUCUGUCUCAUUGUUUUCCAAAUGGUGAUAUUGCCAUGCAAGAUAAGCAAAAAACAGCUGGACUUUAUUGUCACUCUGUUUUCUGUUUUAACAUUUCUUAUUCAGGAGAACUAGGUAUAUUUAAGGCACUAGUGUUACAUGAAUAAUAGUAAUCCAACUAAAAGGCAUUCCUAAAACCUGAAACUAUAAUACCUUCAAAAAGUAAAAGAAAUUAUAGGUAAAAAAAAGCCAUGCAAAAUCAAGAAAAGAAAAUAAAAGAAAGCUUUCUAACAGAUCUGAAUCUGUUGGGUUAAUAUAUUAUUUUGAAAAGUAUGUUUUGGAUUCCAUUUUCAUUCAUAAUUUAAGAUCACAUUGUAAAAGGAAGUAAAGGAGUCAAAUAGGGAAAAAGAAGGCCCUGAUAAAGAUUUUUCUUAAUAGUAUGCUGAAGAACAGAAUGAGAGCACAUUGGAAGUAUUCUCUGAGAAACUAGAUUAUAUUGUGGUAGAAUGAGGUACAAGAUGAAAGAUCUGCAUACAUACAUAACUUGAGAAAACCUGCCUGUUCUUUCCCUUUGACUUUUUUUUCCAGUGAUUAAUUUGGAAAUGAUCAGAGGGGCUCUUUUUCUUCUUCAGUUGUAUAGCUUUGAGGAACAAAUUAUUUUUUACUUAAACAGACAGAUGUAGCUUUCACAAAGUGUAAGUUCUUUAAUUGAAAAAAGCCAUGAAACAAAUUUGAGUUAGAGGAGCUUUUGUGUCAUCACCAUAUAAUUAAUACUCCUCUGAAGUCACCGAAGAAUGAGAGUAUUAAUUUAAGUUUGUAAAAAGAAUAGUCAAGAUUCUAAUGAAACUACACAAGUUGAUUUCUUUUCUUUUUUUUUCUUUGUCUUUUAUCAUUAAGGCAAAAACUGACACUGCAAAACCAAUUUACAGCACAAGAAUAUGCUGUUGAUUAGAGAAGCUGGUUUCUUUAAAACCAUAAAUACAAUCUUGAUAUUUCAGUGUAAUUUAGAGUUGUGUCAAAGUUAUAAUUUAUUUUGCAGACAAUGGAAGAUAUCCAGAAAGAUAUUUCUGGGAGUACUGAGCUGUGACAAUAAGUGGUUUCAUGUCUUUGGUGUUCACUGAUGUCUAAAACAUCCACCUUCUCCAGAACGGGCUCCUCUCUCUACAGGUCUGCAUGUCCUUUCCAGGCCCUUGAUGGAACACGAGUUUCCCAUGGCUUCACAGCCCUCUUUUGGGCAUCCCCCUACUCUGGCACAAGUCUGCUACAUGGGCUGCAGGGGGAUCUCUGUAUGCCCAUGGUCCUCUAUGGGCUGCAGGAGCACAGCUGCUUCACCACAGUCCUCACCACGGCCUGCAGAGGAAUCUCAGAUCCUCCCCCUCCUUGGUAUCUGUAGACUUCCUCCUCUCACAUGUUCUCACUCCACUCCUCUCUGGCCACUAUUACAUUGCACAAUAACUUUUAUUUUCUUCUUAAACAUGUUAUCACAGAGGCUUUACCAUCAUUUCUAAUUGACCCUGCCUUGACCAGAGGCAUGGCCAUUUUUGGAGAUACUGGAGAUUGGCUCUGCUGAACAUGUAGGAAGCUUCUGGCACCUCCCCACAGAAGCCACCCCUGUAAUGCCCCUACUAUCAAAAUCUGGCCAUGCAAACUCAGUACAGAAAUCUCUGGCUGGGAUGCUAAGGAUCUUAGAAGUUAUAAAGUUUUUGAGUGUACACCUGGAAAGGUAGACCCAGAUCAUAACCUAUCAUAGCUUUGUCUGCUGAGCAGCUGGGUAUUUGGAGUUUGAAAUGCAAGUUUGGGGGAGGUUCUCAACUCUCCACCAGGCGAGCUGAAAGAAAGCCAAGAGCCUCGAAGCCUUGGCUAGACAGAGAUACCUGGCAGCCAGGACUCGCAGCUCACAUCAUGCCAUGUGGAUCCUGAAGAGUUGGUAGCCUGGAAGUCCACCAACAGCCUUCAAAAAAAGACAGUUGGGUGAGCUAGCAUUGUGGAUUACUGUUGGAAACCUGCCCCUUUCUGUCAGAACUUUGUCAAAACUAAACUGUCUCCGGCAAAUACUUUAGUUUUGAUGAACUUGCAGUCUCUGCUCCAUCUAACAAUUUCCAAAACACUGAUUCUGGAGUCUAUAAUUUGGGAAGUAAGGCUCUUCAGCAGGAAAACAAAUGCUCUCCAGAAACACAUACAGUUUUGUACAACUGGCAAACAAAAAUCCACACUAAACUAAUUGAGAUAUUCUUUCAUGCAUGACUGAUGAAAGCUGCUUUGCCUGGCUUCUUUUUAACAUUUUUUGUUUGUUGGGUUGAUCAUCUACACUUUUGAAAUGGAGACUAUUGUUGCUUACUUGUGCACUUAUUCCUCAGAUAUUUGUCUGUUCUCAACAUUAUUUUGGAAAGUGUUGCCACUUAUGAACAUCAGUGAAAUAACUCAGCUAAUGACUCUAUCAUUAAAAUAUGGAUAGAUCUAUAGAUUAAAAGCUCCAUCUAUACUGCAAGGAGAAAGCUGAACUACAUUAUUAUUAAUUUUUCUCUUUUAAAUAAUCUACAUAAAUAUGGGAUUUAUUUAAUCAAUAUUGAUUUUUAUUUAAUCCAAUGUUUCUAUAACUUUAAAGACCAGGUGUAAAGAAAGUCCUAGUCUUUCUAGAUUAGUAAGUCUUGAUUUUUCAAUUGCCAUAUUUUUAGGAUAAUUUUUUCCACAAAAAUAAUGUCGUUUUUCUUUUGCUCUUUAUACAAUAAAUCUUUCUAUAUAAGCUGAGAAAAACAUAAUGUAAUAAAUAACUUUGAAUGAUUGUGUUAUUCUACAUUUAGACACAGAAUGGCAUUGAGAUUUUGUGGGGUUUUUAUCUCUGUUCUCUGUAAGCACUAUUUAAAAGAUAUAUUCUCUAUCUGUAAAACAGAUUUCAGAUAGUUCACAAGAGCAUAAAUGAAUACAAGUAACACAGAGGUGUUCAGCAGAGGUUCAGCUCUUCUCAGGAGUAUCCUUCACACAAAUAUAAUGUCACUGCACUAGAAAUGUCUGGAUAUUCUGGAUUUCAAAAGGACUGUGCAUUAUUCAUUUAUUGUGGCUGGGAUUUCAAAGCGACAAAGGAGCUGAAUUCCAAGCCAAUAAGAAUAGUUGGUUUUUGGUUUUUCUUAUACAUUCUCUCUUACUCUGUGCCAUUUUUUUUUUCCCAGAAAUUAUCAUUUCUGUGAGAACUUGUUUUGUUGGAGCUUUGGGGUUUAUUUUGUUUUAGUUUGAUUUUUUAAAAUUAAGUCAUUUGAUCUAAUUUGGAUUUCACUAUGGUUUGUUUGCCAUAACACUGAUGCGAGCCUAAAUUUUAUAGUUACUGUACAUUAGUACCUAAUUAUAUCAGGUGCCCAACACCAGAGAUAAUAACAGAUCUCUGACAAAAAGACACCAACUAAUGCACAAAUUAAUUAAUGUUAUUUCAGUGAGAUUGCAUUGGUUCUAUCAAAUACCCUGAAACCACCAGAAAUGUUAUUAGCAAUGUGAGGGCUGCACUGAACUUUUCCAGUGCAGAAAAUCACAGUACGCUCACAUAACUUCUAGUUGCCUAAACUUAUUGAAGUCAAAACUAUGCACUUUUUUUUUUUUUUUCAGAGGGUGGCUAUGGAUCACAUUUACUUUUCAAUUGGUGUAGAUUGUCCAUUUCAAGAAGGCAGUCAAAUCACCUGGCCAUUCCAAGUACCUAGACCUUUCUUUCAUGGUUCAAAGCACCCUUCCCUGAGAAUGUAACACUUUGGAUUAAACUCUGAAAAGAUCGUAAAUGCUGUGCAAACAUGCUGCAGAAAUUGCAGCAUCAGUUUGAUAUAUGAGUACUUGAAUGUUAGUUUCUUGUGUCUCCUGAAAUAAGGAAAAGAAAAAUGAAGGAAGAAACCAGGGAAAGGAGGAAAAGCUAUGUAAUACAAAUAUAUUGGCCUUGUUUCAUGGAGAACAGAGAGAGAAUUGGGCUGCUAAGCUUCUACAUCAUGUAAAAAAUCAAAAGUUUCAACAGGAUUUCUGUGAAAAAUAUAUUCUGAUCAGACAAUCCCCUCUUCCAUUUUUGAUCUUUGAACAGUGAGAAAUUUUCUGUGCAGGUAAAAAAAUAUUGAUUUCUUUCUACUUUCCAUUUGAAUUUGAUCCAGAGAAUAUUUUCUGAAAUAUGACUAAUAGGUUUCAAAUGUGGAACAAUUUGAAGCAUCAAAAUAGAGUUAAAAUUGAUUGAUUACAACUAUUUCUAUAGGUAGCAAUUUUGGGAAUCCCAGUUUAAGGGCCAGAGGAACAAAUAGGGUUGUACCUGUUGCUUUUGCCUUUUUCUACUUUCAAGAAAAAAAAUUGAGGUAUUGCAUAGUCAUUAGAGGAAAGCUCCUGGUGCUGGAAAAAAUAUUUCUCAUUUCAAGUAACUAAUGGUAAAUAAAACAGAGAACAUAAACCAGGAAUUAGUUAAUUCCAACCUCAAAUAUCCUGAACUUGCUUUAGUCUUCACAUGUUUUUCUAUUUGUUUUAAGGUGGAUUUAAAGGGACUUAAAAAGGAGUGAAGCCAAGGGGAAAAAUCUAGGAAGAAAACCAAAAAAGAUAGAGAGCUCUGCAAACAAAUGUAAAAGUAUACUACAUAAAGGCUUAGAUAAGGAGGCUUAAAAAAUCUAAUAAAAAAGCCAGGUCACCUUUUACCACAACCUGGAUUAUUUGUUUUAUCUAUGAACUAUGUUCCAUCUCUAUAUAUGGCUUUCUCUGUCCUCUAGCUAUCUGUAAUAUUAACUUUAGCUUUAUUGACUUCCCUAGUGGGAAAUUAGGUUGAUUGAAAAAUUUACUCUUCCUUCUUUUUAUUUUUUUUUUCUGGAAAACAAACAAAUAAAUACAAAACCCAAACAAGUUUUCAUAGGAAGAGAAAUUCUUUUGCUUCACUAGUAGCUUAAAAAUGAUUUCAAGCAUAAGUAUUUCUCACUGUUAUUUGGUUAAGAUACAUGUGGUGUUUUCCCCUUUCAAGAACAAAUUAUGCAUGUCACACAGGCUGACAGGCAUAUAUUUUAAGGUUUAUCAGUAAUGUCACAGAAUGCCCAAAGUCUAAAAUUUCAAUUUUGCUCUCUGUGUGGGAAAGUACCAAACUACCUUAUUCAGUGCUGAGAACAGAUUAACUGAUUUUAUUAUCUUUCUUAGAAGAAAACCAGAAUGUGUACGCAGAUAAAAAUAUUGUAAAAAGUCUGUCUAAACAGCAUAUUUUCUUUCCUUAAAGAAUUCUUCAAAGUCCUUUGAUGAAAAGAGUUUAAUAAGAUUUUUGUGCUUCCUCCUGUCCACUACAUGAAAAUCUCCAGCCAAACAUUCAGAGCUCAGUUUGGGAUAAGCUGAGGGUGUCCAUCCAGAUGUAGAAAAUAUGUUAUUUAAUUCUUUAACUGAAAUUUUUUAUUAUCUUUAGCACAAGGAAAUAUUUUUAACAAAAUAAAAUAUUUUUAACAAAAAUGGGGACUAUAAAAUCAUAUAAAAUCAUACAGAAAUAUGAAUGAUGUCCAAGGGUCUAGAUUUUCUUCCUAAGCUGGAAGUGUGUUACAGCUAGAAAUAAAGAUUUUCUAUAAUAUAAACACUUAUUUUAAAGAGUUGCUAACAACUAGAUCUGUAUUUCUAUUACUGUUAUUCAGGAGAAAAGAGUUGGAUGUGUUCUCUGAACAUAUUUCCAAUGUUGAAAUGGAAUUCAGCAGAUUUGUGGAAAUCUGAUUUAUAAAGCUUUGCUUUUCUGCUUGAAGUGUUAAUUUUUUUUCCAAAUGGGAAGUGCAGAUGAGGACUUCAGAAAGGACAGAAAGGUAACUGAAGGGACUACUGGUAUAUAAAGUGAAGAAGAAUAAAGCAUUAAAAGUAGCCUUAGUCUAAUGAGGGAUGAUAAGGAUUAAUGUAACAGUAUGUGAAAGGGAGGUGAGAGAAAAGCCUGCAUGAAAAACUACAUUUACCAGUAAGCAAUUAAUCCUUUCAUUCAAAAAAAAAAAAAAAAAAAAGGAAAAAAAAAAAAAAGGGUGAUAUUGUAUCCUGCUAUUCUAGACACUUCAUCUCACUAUCCCUUUCAUUAACAUACUGAGUUCUGUCUCAUAAAUGGCAAGUUUUUUGUCUCCUCUCAGUCCCAACAAGCUGUUCCUGAAUAUCUGACUGAUCAUUAGGAACUUUCAUCUCACUCCAGAUUAAAUUUUUCAUCACCAGUUUUACUUCUCUGUGAUGUGAUAGUCACCACAUAAGAGCUGUUGUACUCUACUGCAAGGUCUGCCAUUUUCAAUAAUUAAUAUUUAGGGACCUUGAAGUACACAAGCCCAAACUAAAAUGGACACCAGAAAUGUCACUCUUGCUUCAUCACUGUGGUAAUAUGGCCAGAAUAACAGAGCAAAUUUUUGGCAAAAUGGCAAAAUUAUGGAAAAAUUAUUAGAAAUGUCACAUAACUAUUCAGUGAUCAGAAUACAAAUGUGACAAGCCAAAUUUUUCUUUCUUUAUAACACAUGUUACAAUUUAUUUUAUAUAGCGAUGUCUGUAUAUGUGGAGCUCCAAAUGGUAUUUACACAGUGCAGGAAUACAGAUGAAGAGUUUCAGCCUAACUUCUUACCCACUGUUUCAAUAUGGUUUUUUGAACUAGAUGUAAAUUGGUAGUAGCUAAGCACCAAAUAGAUCUAACUAGAAGUAAAUACUUUUCUCCUAAUCCACUUUAGUUAAAUUGCAUGUUGGCUUUUGGGUUAUUUUUUUCCCUGAAUAAUCUGUCAAGGCAUACAUUACCUAGCAUUUCUCAGCCCUGUAUCACAUGUAAUAGAUAAGAGUUAGCCACUACAUUUAGUUUUUCUGAUUACCUACACAUAUACCUAAAAAUAAUUCCUCAAUAUUAACAACAUUGAUACUGACUUUUUGAUAUUAACUUUGAUAUUACACGAUCAGGUAGCUUUUCAGCAUCCUUAGCUGAAUUUUAAAAGUCACAUUCUUUAGCCUUCUGUCAAGCUUCUGAGUGUCUUCCUUGGCCUUCCCAUGCUUGCUCCAUUCUGAGUUCUCUUUUCAUGAGCAUCAGUAACAAGAAUUGUAUAUGCAUUCUGCAAGAAUAAGCUGGCAUAAGUUUAUAGUGAGAUCAAUAUCUUCCUUCCUCCAAUGAAAAUCUCUGUUCUGCUUUACUAAGAUUUUUUUUUUGUAUUUUUCACAGCUACAUCAAGUUAGCAGCUGGAAAUGAUUCUGUAAUCAACAAGCAGCACUAAAGUACUUUCAUCUGUUUUUCUAAAGAUAAGUUCCUAGAUUGAUGUCACAGAAGUUUAUCUUAAUAAACCUGAAGCAUAUAAUCCUGUAUGUUUACCAAUUGCAUUGCAUCUUAAAAUUCCUGUCAUCCCAAUGGUUAGUUCCUCCUUUAUAUGUUAAUUAUUUUUUGUAGACAACAUUUUCCAACUCAAUUUCAUCACAAAUUCUCUGAGGCAAAUCUUGUCCUUUCUCCUUUAGGUAAAAAUAUUAAACAAACCUGUGCUAAAAAUUGUUCUUGUGAAAUACCACCCAACUGAUCCUUUCAAAUUCCUUGUCAUCUCCUUUUCAGGUUGUUUUUCCUUUGCUUUUUAAUUAAAUGACAAUCCAAUUUUCACUACUUUUUUUUCCAUAAAGAAUUGAAAUAGAUGCUCUCCUCUGGUCCAAAUAUGAAAAAUACUGCAGGUCUCAUCUAUC